rnacentral:rRNA from 1 species
UACGGGGGGUGCAAGCGUUAUUCGGAAUUAUUGGGCGUAAAGGGCACGCAGGCGGUCCUGUCAGUCAGAUGUGAAAGCCCGGGGCUCAACCCCGGACGUGCAUUUGAAACAGCAGGACUUGAGUACGGGAGAGGAAAGGGGAAUUCCUGGUGUAGAGGUGAAAUUCGUAGAUAUCAGGAGGAACACCGGUGGCGAAGGCGCCUUUCUGGACCGAUACUGACGCUGAGGUGCGAAGGCGUGGGUAGCGAACGGG